UGUGAAGUAAAGGGGAGCCUGACGGCUGAGAGUGGAUAAGAUCCUGACCCUAGAACCUGAUAACGUUAGUCCGUGCGCAGGAAUUACUUGAGGGGAUUCG
rnacentral:ncRNA from 2 species